GUUUUUCUCCUCAAUCUGGAGCCAUAUCACGGAAGCAAAUGGUAAUUACUUAGAGCCACGUUUGGCUUUGCAUCGUGGAAAUCUGCUGGAAAUCGUUCUGGUUCGUAAGCAAAUGGCCCAGGUGCAGAAAUGGUUCAGGUUAGCUGAGUGUCCUCUGGUGUGGUCUAAAGGCCUCAUCUGUCUCCCUGUGAAACAUCAGUGCUGAUCCCAUGGACAGGGAGGAAGAGGCACUGGGAAGUGAUGGGCAUGAUGGCAAUAAGGAUUUCUGGUUGUAUAGAAGAAAACGUAUUAGCUUCAGUACAGAAAAGGCUACUGAAAGUAAUCUGAGCCUGAUGGAUCAAUUUCUUCCCCCAAAAUAAGCAGUGUCUACCAUGCUGUCUGAGAUCAGCAAGACCUCUGAAAGAAUGAGGCACUGAAUUUGACUCUGGUGUGAGUAGGUGCAAGUCCCAGAGAAGCCACCUUAGCAGCUACAACAUAGGUCCUAUCUGAGCUGAGGGACAGAAACGAUACAAGACUCAAGUAGCACAGCUGAUGGGAGCAAUAGACUGCCAUGGUGUGUGCCCUAUAGCUAUUCCUCUCCAUGUGACCGACUGCAUGAAUCCCACGGGAUUCAGGAAAAUUGGAAUGAAUUGAACAAUCCCUUAGUGGGGGAGAGAGAAGGAAGCAGGGAGGCAUUCCCAUUAAAGGACUUUCUGCAUUUGUCAGCUGCAUCCAGACCAUACACAGAAAGCUUACUGUGACCUACAUAGAUUUGGAAGGUGAAGCUUUAAUGCAGUGACUGCCAAAGAGCCUGUGCUUCUGUGGAAUGUAACUUACCACAAA